GGGAAGAGGGGAAACCCUAGCCGCCUCCAUUCCCUUUCCCUCUCUUUCCUCGUCACGUUGUCGGAUUUGGUAAUUUUGUGGGUCCAUAUUGGUGGUACUGCCUUUGUAAGGCUGAGAAUGGCAAGAGCAUUUAUUGCUCUGCCAUCUCUCAGCCAUUUUCAUCGAUCCUUGUCCAAACGCGCAUUUUUAUUGGUCCUAAAGGAUUUGAGCGGAUUUGAUUUAUUUUGGGUCAAUACUGACCUUUGAUGCGUUUAUAAGUGAA